UACGGGGGGGGCAAGCGUUGUUCGGAAUUACUGGGCGUAAAGGGCUCGUAGGCGGCCAACUAAGUCGGACGUGAAAUCCCCAGGCUCAACCUGGGAACUGCGUCCGAUACUGGAUGGCUUGAAUCCGGGAGAGGGAUGCAGAAUUCCAGGUGUAGCGGUGAAAUGCGUAGAUAUCUGGAGGAACACCGGUGGCGAAGGCGGCAUCCUGGACCGGUAUUGACGCUGAGGCGCGAAAGCCAGGGGAGCAAAGCGGGG
rnacentral:rRNA from 1 species